AUUGAACGCUGGCGGAAUGCUUUACACAUGCAAGUCGAACGGCAGCACGGACUUCGGUCUGGUGGCGAGUGGCGAACGGGUGAGUAAUACAUCGGAACGUGCCCAGUCGUGGGGGAUAACGUAGCGAAAGCUACGCUAAUACCGCAUACGAUCUACGGAUGAAAGCGGGGGAUCGCAAGACCUCGCGCGAUUGGAGCGGCCGAUGGCAGAUUAGGGAGUUGGUGGGGUAAAGGCUCACCAAGCCGACGAUCUGUAGCUGGUCUGAGAGGACGACCAGCCACACUGGGACUGAGACACGGCCCAGACUCCUACGGGAGGCAGCAGUGGGGAAUUUUGGACAAUGGGCGCAAGCCUGAUCCAGCCAUUCCGCGUGCAGGAUGAAGGCCCUCGGGUUGUAAACUGCUUUUGUACAGAACGAAAAGGCUCUGGUUAAUACCUGGGGCUCAUGACGGUACUGUAAGAAUAAGCACCGGCUAACUACGUGCCAGCAGCCGCCGCCGUAA
rnacentral:rRNA from 1 species